rnacentral:rRNA from 1 species
GAUGAACGCUGGCGGCGUGCUUAACACAUGCAAGUCGAACGGGAUCCCAGGAGCUUGCUCCUGGGUGAGAGUGGCGAACGGGUGAGUAAUGCGUGACCGACCUGCCCCAUACACCGGAAUAGCUCCUGGAAACGGGUGGUAAUGCCGGAUGCUCCAGUUGGAUGCAUGUCCUUCUGGGAAAGAUUCAUCGGUAUGGGAUGGGGUCGCGUCCUAUCAGCUUGAUGGCGGGGUAACGGCCCACCAUGGCUUCGACGGGUAGCCGGCCUGAGAGGGCGACCGGCCACAUUGGGACUGAGAUACGGCCCAGACUCCUACGGGAGGCAGCAGUGGGGAAUAUUGCACAAUGGGCGCAAGCCUGAUGCAGCGACGCCGCGUGCGGGAUGACGGCCUUCGGGUUGUAAACCGCUUUUGACUGGGAGCAAGCCCUUCGGG